UCUGAUCUGUGAUGACACCAAAUCAAUGAGGACUGCUGGAUGAAGCUUGCGGAUAUGGGACUGAGAUCAGCC
rnacentral:snoRNA from 13 species